GAUGAACGCUGGCGGCGUGCCUAAUACAUGCAAGUCGAGCGAACGGACGAGAAGCUUGCUUCUCUGAUGUUAGCGGCGGACGGGUGAGUAACAUGUGGAUAACCUACCUAUAAGACUGGGAUAACCUCGGGAAACCGGAGCUAAUACCGGAUAAUAUUUUGAACCGCAUGGUUCAAAAGUGAAAGACGGUCUUGCAGCCACUUAUAGAUGGAUCCGCGCUGCAUUAGCUUGUUGGUAAGGUAACGGCUUACCAAGGCAACGAUGCAUAGCCGACCUGAGAGGGUGAUCGGCCACACGGGAACUGAGUCACGGUCCAGACUCCUACUGGAGGCAGCAGUAGUGAAUCUUGCGCAAUGGGCAAAAGCCUGACGGAGCAACGCCGCGUGAGUGAUGCUUGUCUUCGGAUCGUAAAACUCUGUUAUUAGGGAAGAACAUAGGUGUAAGUAACUGUGCACAUCUUGACGGUACCUAAUCAGAAAGCCACGGCUAACUACGUG
rnacentral:rRNA from 1 species